rnacentral:rRNA from 3 species
AGACCGAUAGCGAACAAGUACCGUGAGGGAAAGAUGAAAAGCACUUUGGAAAGAGAGUUAAACAGUAUGUGAAAUUGUUGAAAGGGAAACGAUUGAAGUCAGUCGUGUCUAUUGGACUCAGCCGGUUCUGCCGGUGUACUUCCUUUAGACGGGGUCAACAUCAGUUUUGAUCGCUGGAAAAGGGCUGGAGGAAUGUAGCACUCUCGGGUGAACUUAUAGCCUUCAGUCGUAUGCAGUGGUUGGGACUGAGGAACGCAGCACGCCUUUAUGGCCGGGUUCGCCCACGUACGUGCUUAGGAUGUUGACAUAAUGGCUUUAAACGACCCGUCUUGAAACACGGACCAAG